UAAAUGACAAUAUAUAGUAUAAUUAUUAAGAGUCCCUUUAAUUUUGUCUAUUUUUAUAUUUUUUAGUAUUUAUGUAUGUUGUUGGAAUUUAUGUUUAUUUUGUACAUGGUUUUUUGGUUUUCACGAUAGCGGUCAUCCCGCUACCCGUUAUAGCGCCACUAUCUGAGAUUAACAGCAUAGGUUUUGUUUGUUUUUAUUUCUAGGUUGCCGCUGAUGUAGGCACUAAAACAAUUGAUAUGGUAAAGAGUUUCUAUCAUUUGAAUUGGGUGAGUAUUAUAUGAAU
rnacentral:lncRNA from 1 species